rnacentral:rRNA from 1 species
GAUCAUGGCUCAGGAUGAACGCUAGCUACAGGCUUAACACAUGCAAGUCGAGGGGUAGCAGGGUAGCAAUACCGCUGACGACCGGCGCACGGGUGAGUAACACGUAUCCAACCUUCCCAUAACUCAGGGAUAGCCUUUCGAAAGAAAGAUUAAUACCUGAUAGUACUUUUUCAAGGCAUCUUGAGAAAGUUAAAGAUUUAUUGGUUAUGGAUGGGGAUGCGUUCCAUUAGAUAGUUGGUGAGGUAACGGCUCACCAAGUCUUCGAUGGAUAGGGGUUCUGAGAGGAAGGUCCCCCACAUUGGUACUGAGACACGGACCAAACUCCUACGGGAGGCAGCAGUGAGGAAUAUUGGUCAAUGGGCGAGAGCCUGAACCAGCCAAGUAGCGUGAAGGAAUGAAGGUCCUAUGGAUUGUAAACUUCUUUUAUAGUAGAAUAAAGUGAUCCACGUGUGGAUUUUUGUAUGUAUACUAUGAAUAAGGAUCGGCUAACUCCGUGCCAGCCGCCGC